UUGAAGGAUUUAAAGACUGGGCUUUAUUUUUAACUCCUCUCCCAAUGGCAGGGACUCACUGGUGUGGACUUAGGAAGUCAACUGGAAGUUGGACUGGGCUGUGGAAACCCAGCGGAGUGAAACAGCCUGCAGUUGGGGAAGGACGAAGCUUGGAGGAAAUGCCUGCUGGCCUCUCCGAGUUCCACCCACCUGACUCUCCGGGCUGUGAGUCCCCAGAGGAUGCUGGCCAUGCUGAUCCACUGGGUGACCAAUGCCCCAGCACAAGCCUGGCCCAGGCUUCUUUGGGAGACAACAAAAGAUGGAAACAACCCAAAUGUCCAUUAACUGGAAAAUGGAUAAAAAAACUGCGCUCAACCACACAAUGGAAUACUAGUCCGCAAUAAAAAGUAGCAUGUUACUGAAACACACACCAACAUGGAUGGAUCUCAAAAACAUACCAAGGGAAUGAAGCUGGAGACAAAUCAUAUGAUUCCAAUGACGUGAAAGCCUGGAAAAAACUAAACUAUGGUGAUAGAAAGCAGAUCCGUGGUUACCAGAGGGGUAAGGGGGAUCCACUGUGUAGGGGCACAAGGGAACUUUCUGAGUUGAUCUAAAUGUUCUGUAUCUUGACUAUGCUGGUGGUUACACAGGUGUAGACGUUUGUCAAGACUGUGCACCUCGAGGGGGGUGGUGGUGUGAUGAAUUGGGCAAUUGGGAUUGACAUGUAUACACUGAUGUGUAUAAAAUUGAUGACUAAUAAGAACCUGCUGUAUAAAUAAAUAAAUUAAAUUAAAUUUUUAAAAAAAGGCUGUGCACUUAAAAUGUGUUUUAUUGCAUGGAAAUUAUCCCUCAAUAAAGUUGAUUUGAUAAAUGAAUAAUUUGUAAAUAAAUUUUUAAGGAAAAAAAAAACCCCUACCCAGUACAGUGUCCUGCAAAUAUCCAUCAGGAAAUCCUGUCCACUCUACUUUCCAAGUGAAUCUAGAAUCUCACCACGUCUCACCACCCCCAUUGCUGCUAGAUGGUAGUCUGAGCCACCAUUAUCUCCCUAACACACCUAUCAGAGGGGAUUCUGUUCAAAUAUAAUAAGCCAGAUCACGACACUGCUCUGCUCCUUCUUUCUCAGAAAAAAAGCUGAAGUCCUUAGCGACCCACAAGGCCCUACCUGAUCUCAUCCCCAUCACUCUAUCCUUACCUCCUCCCAUUCUCCCCUUUCCCUCACUUCACUCUAGCCACAGAGGCCUCCUUGCUGUUCUUCCCGCACACUAGCCAUGGUCCUGCCUCAGGGCCUUUGCAUUUGCUGUUUGCUCUGCCUAGAAUGUUCUUCCUCCAGAUAUCUGCAUGGCUCACUCCCUCACCAUCUUCAAGCCUUUACUCAAAUGUCAUCUCACUGAAGACUCCCUCACCACCCUAUUUAAAAUUAUAACCCCCACCCAAGGUUUUUUUUUAUCUCCCUUCUUUGCUUUUAUUUUCCUUCAUAGCAUAUCUAAUAUUACAUAUAUUUUGCUUUUUCUUUUGUUUAUUAACCAUCUCCCCUACUGGAAUGUAAGUUCCACAA